ACACUACCCAUCUUGUUAAUGCAAGACACAGCUGUUGCGUUAUUUAUUCCUAGCAAAAUGUUACAAUUCCUAUAUUCGUUGAAAACGGAUUUCAAGCCACUAUAUGCUGCUAGUAACUGAAGUCCAUUUAUAUGUAGUUGUUGUUCAUGACUCCAAAAACCAUGAGUUUUGUUAUCAAUGCAGCAUACCCGCCAUGCUAAAAGAUAUAUGCAUCGCAAAAUAUUUCAAGUACAUCAUUGGAUUAUUUUAUAUUUUGCUCACUAAUUGGUAUGUUAUUUAACCACCAAUUGUAAUCGUUUUUAAGUAUUUAGGUAUGGUCAUUUUAGUGUUAUAACUAUUAGUUUAAGAAAGAGGCUACUUUUCUUUUGUAUUUAUUUAUAUAUUGUUUUUUUUUUAGUAUAAUUUUCCAUAUUUAACUUCCAUAAAUGGACGAACUGUUACAAACUGACCGAUUAAGGCUGCACAUGAUCUUAUUUUACAUGUACUUUUAUUUUUGAUGUUCUGAAUACUAUUAGAUAUUUUUUUUUGUCAGCAGGUGCAAAAUAUAUCAGGUUCGAAUCAAAUGUAAAACCAAGAAAAGUUAUAUUUUGUGUGGGUGAAAGUAUACUUUUCCUUUUUUUUUUUUUAUUUAUAGUAAAUCCCAAGCAGAAAAAACAUAGAAAAUUUUUAAACAAUAUUUUCUUUACAUUUUAAAUAUGAUUUUGAAAUUGGUAAAUGUUCCUCUAAAAAAUUGACAAAAGUAAAGCCUCCUGUUAUUAGAUUAUUUAGGGCUGGUUUUAAAGUUUUUGUAAAUAUAAAAGCCGAGAUAUUAUUCAAACCAAACGGUAAACAGUUUAAUUAAUAUAAAAAAGUUCUGUACUUAAAUUUUAAAUAUUU
rnacentral:lncRNA from 1 species